AUGGUUGUUUACUAUGUUGUUUGCUUCUUUUCGGUGAUGUUUCUUCGGGUUAGUUCCGAUAACGUCGCGUUUGUGAGGAUUCGUUCGACUACGUCUGUUUGUCUUCUUCAUGGACUCGUUCUUCUUCCUUGCGAGAUCUUAGGCAAGAUGAUCAUACCCUCGAAAUCACUUCUAUCUUUACUUGCUAGUUGCUCGCUCUAUUGCUAUGCCGCGAUACCUAUCACUUGCUAUAUCAUGCCUCCCAUAUUGCCAUGUCAAGCCUCUAACCCACCUUUCCUAACAAACCGUUGUUUGGCUAUGUUACCAUUUUACUCAGCCCUUCUUAUAGCGUUGCUAGUUGCAGGUGAAGCUGGAGUUUGUUCCAUGUUGGAACAUGGUUAUUGUUGGGAUAUCACAAUAUCUCUUAUAUUAUUUAAUGCAUCUAUAUACUUGGUAAAGGGUGGAAGGCUCGGCCUUAUGCCUGGUGUUUUGUUCCAUUAUUGCCGCCCUAGUUUUCGUCAUAUUGGUGUUAUGUUCCUUGAUUUUGCGUUCCUUACACGGUUGGGUGUUAUGGGGACCCCUUGA
rnacentral:rRNA from 1 species